GUCCAAACGUUAUUCGGUAUCACUAGGCUUAAAGCGUGCGUAGGCGGCUUGGUAGGUGAGAUGUGAAAGCCCACGGCUCAACCGUGGAAUUGCGUUUCAAACCCCCAAGCUCGAGGAAGAUAGGGGUGAUGGGAACUUAUGGUGGAGCGGUGAAAUGCGUUGAUAUCAUAGGGAACACCGGUGGCGAAAGCGCAUCACUGGAUCUUUUCUGACGCUGAGGCACGAAAGCUAGGGUAGCGAACGGGAUUAGAUACCCCGGUAGUCCUAGCCGUAAACGAUG
rnacentral:rRNA from 1 species